CCUACGGGCGGCAGCAGUGGGGAAUAUUGGACAAUGGGGGGAACCCUGAUCCAGCGACGCCGCGUGAGUGAAGAAGUAUUUCGGUAUGUAAAGCUCUAUCAGCAGGGAAGAAAAUGACGGUACCUGACUAAGAAGCCCCGGCUAACUACGUGCCAGCAGCCGCGGUAAUACGUAGGGGGCAAGCGUUAUCCGGAUUUACUGGGUGUAAGGGGAGCGUAGACGGUGCAGCAAGUCUGAUGUGAAAGGUCGGGGCUCAACCCCGGGACUGCAUUUGAAACUGUUGAACUGGAGUACAGGAGAGGUAAGCGGAAUUCCUAGUGUAGCGGUGAAAUGCGUAGAGAUUAGGAGGAACACCAGUGGCGAAGGCGGCUUACUGGACUGUAACUGACGUUGAGGCUCGAAAGCGUGGGGAGCAAACAGGAUUAGAUACCCGAGUAGUC
rnacentral:rRNA from 1 species